AUUGAACGCUGGCGGCAGGCCUAACACAUGCAAGUCGAGCGGAGCGGCGGACGGGUGAGUAAUGCCUAGGAAUCUGCCUGGUAGUGGGGGAUAACGUCCGGAAACGGGCGCUCAUACCGCAUACUUUCAGUUGAGCCUAGGUCGGAUUAGCUAGUUGGUGGGGUAAAGGCCUACCAAGGCGAAGAUCCGUAACUGGUCUGAGAGGAUGAGCAGUCACACGGGAACUAAGACACGGUCGAGAGUCCGAGGGGAGGGAGCAGUAAGGAAUAUUGGAAAAUGGAAAAAGACCGGAUCCAGCCAUGGCGCGUAAGUGAAGAAGGUCUUCGGAUUGUAGAACACUUUAAGUUGGGAGGCGUUACCAACAGAAUAAGCAACGGCUAACUUCGUGCCAGCAGCCGCGGUAAUAC
rnacentral:rRNA from 1 species